UACGUAGGGGGCUAGCGUUGUCCGGAAUUAUUGGGCGUAAAGAGCGCGCAGGCGGCUUGGUAAGUCGGAUGUGAAAUCCCGAGGCUCAACCUCGGGUCUGCAUCCGAUACUGCCCGGCUAGAGGUAGGUAGGGGAGAUCGGAAUUCCUGGUGUAGCGGUGAAAUGCGCAGAUAUCAGGAGGAACACCGGUGGCGAAGGCGGAUCUCUGGGCCUUACCUGACGCUCAGGCGCGAAAGCUAGGGGAGCGAACUGG
rnacentral:rRNA from 1 species